UACGUAGGGUGCGAGCGUUAAUCGGAAUUACUGGGCGUAAAGCGUGCGUAGGCGGUUCUCCAAGUCCGUUGUGAAAGCCCCGGGCUUAACCUGGGAACUGCGUUUGAAACUGGGAGACUUGAGUGUGGCAGAGGGGGGUGGAAUUCCACGUGUAGCAGUGAAAUGCGUAGAUAUGUGGAGGAACACCGAUGGCGAAGGCAGCCCCCUGGGUUAACACUGACGCUCAUGCACGAAAGCGUGGGGAGCAAACAGG
rnacentral:rRNA from 1 species